ensembl:lncRNA
GCGUCCAUUGAAGUUCUGUUUUUUUAAAUAUAAAGUGUAUCAAAGACUUUUAGGAGCCCAGGUGUGUGUUUAUCUGACUAUCUUUCAAAAAGCUGCUUCAGAGACUGCAAAAAGAUGUAUGUUCAGGAAUCUAUUUCAGGCAUUCUUACCAGCCAGCUAGUUACCCGACCCCUACUCCCUUCCCUGGCUUCCCGGCCCCCCACUCCCCCUUGCUGCUUCGAAACAAAAUAGCUUCUUUCCAAGCAGGUUGUUAUCAUAUUCAUGGCAUGGUCAAUUUCCGUUUGCCAAGAAAAUAUUUAGGCUGAUCAAAGACAUUAGAAAAUCGGAUGAAUAGAAACAGACGUUCCCACAAGAGAAGCGUUUCUCAACGUGAAGAGGCAGGCGGAUUGCAGCCCACCCAGUUACUCCUAGGAAAUAGCUCUCCUGCUAAAGGCAGAACUAUGGGGCCACCUGGAUUCUACCGGAAGGGCUAUGGAAGAGUCCGGAAAUUCACGUGGAGACUGGAGCUUGGGACUCUCCGAUGGCGGACAUGUGAGAUGAUCGGUUCUAGUAUCUAUCAGCAAACCUAGAAGGCCUUUAAUUACAUCCAUUAACACAGAGGGACCUUUCAAGACUGAAGAUACGUAAGUUUGAGAUCCUUUGUUUUGCUUCAACUGGUUUGUUAUGCGCAUGGAAAGACAACACAUCCUUUGUAGAUGAUACAGGCAUUUCUCCUGAAGUAGUGUAAACUAAGUUUCCUGGAUUUGAGUGGGGGAAUGUCUGACAGUAAUUGUCCUUGGGACCCUUUGGUUUCCAGAGUGUGCGCCCAGGUCAGUCGAUGAAAGAAAGAGGGCCUUCCACCUCCUCCUUGUUCCUCGGCAAGACGCAGCCAAACCAGGGCUGCGCCAAGUACAGCAGCGGUGAUGGAAAUGGUUGCAAAAUCCAAGCCCAGCCCCAGUGGGCGAGAGGCGCGGAAGGGCAUGCGUGAGUGGGAACCCUCCACCCAGCAUUUCCUUCUCUGCCGUUCAGAGGACUGGGGCUUCAGACAGAUGCGCGCGGCCCAUUCGGGAGCAGAGGCAGUCAAGCUUCUCGGUCCGCGACGAUCUGGAUCCUUUAGAACCCAAACAAUGUACUCUGUAUGGGAAUGCAGAAACAUCUUCCACGGCGUGGAUU